UACGGAGGGUGCAAGCAUUGAUCGGAAUUACUGGGCGUAAAGGGCGCGUAGGCGGCGGAGAAAGUCAGAUGUGAAAUACCAGGGCUCAACCCUGGUGCUGCAUUUGAAACUUCUUUGCUAGAGGAUGGUUAGGGAAAACGGAAUUCCACGUGUAGCGGUGAAAUGCGUAGAUAUGUGGAAGAACACCAGUGGUGAAGACGGUUUUCUGGGCCAAACCUGACGCUGAGGCGCGAAAGCUAGGGGAGCAAACAGG
rnacentral:rRNA from 1 species